ensembl:lncRNA
UUCCAGGCGGGCGCGCACCAGUCUUCAGUUCAAAGAAAGCGCCAGAACUGUGCAGUCAAGAAGAUAACCUUUGUGUCUGUUUCAAUUUAUCACUACAGGUAAUCUUAGGUUUCAUUACAUACAGUCGGGAGGAAUUACUGAAAUAUAAGAGCAACGUCAACUCACCAUCAUUACGACCAGGAAUAUGACUUUCCCGAAGCGGAUCCUGUGUUCUGCCUUCCACCCAGGACAAUGGAUUGGACCCCAGCCGACGACCCAAAACAACGACGUAGUAAAAGAGGCAAAGGAAGCGGUCUUGUGGUCAGGCGCCGGAGACGGGCACAUCGCGCACCGCUCCCUAGUAUACUACCCGCCAAUGGUUUUUUGGGGGGUUUUGUAGUUUUCUAUUCAAUGCCAUUACAGUAUCCAUUGACUUAGGACUCCAUUUGCAGUUCCUAUGCCUUCCACUAGAUGUCAACAGUCUUUAGAUAUAGUUUCAGGCUUGUAUUCUUAUAAAUGAGGGAGUAAGACCAGUCUGAACAAGUGGACCCUAACGUGUCGCAGAGCUUUUUCAGGCGCAUGUGCAUUUCUUGUUUACCUUUUAUAUUGACAACGUUAUUAUCCGGCUGAAAUAUUAUAGAUCAUUUAGGUGAAAAAACUACCUGAGUAUAGAAUAUAAACAUCGUUUGACAUGUUUCUAUGAACUUUACGGCUACAAUUUGGAUUUUUUUUAUCUGAUUGUUUUGACUGAGUUUUAGCCUGUGGAUUACUGAAGAAAACGUGCUAACAAAAUUGAGGUUUUUGGAUAGAAAGAGACUUCAUUGAACAAAAGGAACAUUUUAUUGAUUAAAUUAAUGUCUUAUGAUUGCCACCAUAUGAAGAUCAUCAAAGGUAAGGGAUUCAUUUUAUCUCUUUCUGAGUUUUGUACAGCUUCUGCUUGGCUGGUUACUGUUUGUAAUAAUUUGUCAACUGGGCUAUGUUCUGGCCUAGGUAUGUUCUUGGCUAGGUAUGCUUUCGCUGAAAAGCAUUUCAUAAAUAUGACACUGGUUGGUUUAACAAGAAGUUAAUCUUUAAACCUAUGUAAAAUAUGUUUUGUUUUCUGAAUUUUUAUAAUGAGCAUUUCUGUAAUUGAAUUUGGCGCUCUGCAAUCUCACUGGAUGUUGGCCAGAUGGGACGCUAGCAUCACACAUACCCUAGAGAGGUUAAACGUGUUAACCCUCGCAAGGCUGCAGGCCCAGACGGCAUCCCCAGCCACGGCCUCAGAGCAUGCGCAGACCAGCUGGCUGGUGUGUUUACGGACAUAUUCAAUCAAUCCUUAUCCCAGUCUGCUGUUCCCACAUGCUUCAAGAGGGCCACCAUUGUCCCUGUUCCCAAGAAAGCUAAGGUCCACAGACGAUGCAAUCGCAAGCACACUUCCCUAACCCAAGAGGAAUGCCUAGAGGAAUACCCAUGUGAGAAUGCUGUUUAUCGACUACAGCUCAGCAUUUAACACCAUAGUACCCUCCAAACUCGUCAUCAAGCUCGAGACCCUGGGUCUCGACCCCUCCCUGUCCAACUGGGUACUGGACUUCCUGACGGGCCGCCCCAGGUGGUGAGGGUAGGUAACAUCUCCACCCCGCUGAUCCUCAACACUGGGGCCCCACAAGGGUGCGUUCUGAGCCCUCUCCUGUACUCACUGUUCACCCACGACUGCGUGGCCAUGCACGCAUCCAACUCAAUCAUCAAGUUUGUUGACGACCCUACAGUGGUAGGCUUGAUUACCAACAACGACGAGACGGCCUACAGGGAGGAGGUGAGGGCCCUCGGAGUGUGGUGUCAGGAAAAUAAUCUCACACUCAUCGUCAACAAAACAAAGGACAUGAUUGUGGACUUCAGGAAACAGCAGAGGGAGCAACCCCCUAUCCACAUCGACGGGACAGUAGUGGAGAGGGUAGUAAGUUUUAAGUUCCUCGGCGUACACAUCACGGACAAACUGAAUUGGUCCACCCACACAGACAGCGUCGAGAAGAAGGCGCCUCUUCAACCUCAGGAGGCUGAAGAAAUUUGGCUUGUCACCAAAAGCACUCACAAACUUCUACAGAUGCACAAUCGAGAGCAUCCUGUCUGGCUGUAUCACCGCCUGGUACGGCAACUGCUCCACCCACAACCGUAAGGCUCUCCAGAGGGUAGUGAGGUCUGCACAACACGUCACCGGGGGCAAACUACCUGCCCUCCAGGACACCUACACCACCCGAUGUCACAGGAAGGCCAUAAAGAUCAUCAAGGACAACAACCACCCGAGCCACUGCCUGUUCACCCCGCUAUCAUCCAGAAGGCAAGGUCUGAGGCCGGAAACAUAAACAGUGAGGACAAACCCAGCCUGCCUCUUUCCUUCCACACUGAAUCCAAACCUACAGUCACUGGGUCCUGAUUGUGUCAGUAGAGCCCAGUUUUUACAGCAGGAUCCAGAGAUGGCAUCAGUGAAGCUGGAAGACUGCAGUCAAACACUGGAGCUGAAUGUCAACAUUAAAGAUGAAGAAGAAGAAGAGAAGAUUGGGAAAUCUGUUUCUCAUGG